CAACUCUCAACAACGGAUAUCUAGGCUCUCGCAACGAUGAAAAACGCAACGGAAUGCGAUACGUACUGUGAAUUGCACAAAUCCGUGAACCAUCGAAUCUUUGAACGCAUAUUGCGCUCGAGCCCUCGGGCAAGAGCAUGUCUGCCUCAUCGUCCGUCU
rnacentral:rRNA from 1 species